ensembl:snoRNA
GGGCCUGUGAUGUUUGCCACAGGCUGUGUUCUUACACUACUAGAUAGAAAGAUGGGGAGGAUAAACCUACUCCAUAUACACCUCGGCCCAGACCCUGGUCUUGCUCUGUGUUGUCCAUGGUGGGGACAUUC